UGGGGGAAUAUUGCACAAUGGGGGAAACCCGUGAUGCAGCGACGCCGCGUGAGCGAUGAAGUAUUUCGGUAUGUAAAGCUCUAUCAGCAGGGAAGAAAAUGACGGUACCUGACUAAGAAGCCCCGGCUAACUACGUGCC
rnacentral:rRNA from 1 species